CCCUUAGAUGUUCUGGGCUGCACGCGCGCUACACUGAUGCAUCCAGCGAGUUGUAACCUUGCUUGGUAAAGUUUGGUAAUCUGAGGCUAAUGUGCAUCGUGAUGGGAAUAGAGUUUUGCAACUAUUAGUCUUGAACGAGGAAUUCCUCGUAAGCACGAGUCAUCAGCUUGUGCUGAUUACGUCCCUGCCCUUUGUACACACCGCCCGUCGCUCCUACCGAUUGGGUGCUCCGGUGAAUAAUUCGGACUGAUGCAAUAUUCAGCUCCUGGACGUUGCGUUGGAAAGUUUAGUGAACCUUAUCACUUAGAGGAAGGAGAAGUCGUAACA
rnacentral:rRNA from 1 species